rnacentral:tRNA from 2 species
GGAGAUAUAGCUCAGUUGGUGAGAGCGCGGGAUUCAUAACCCCGAGGUCGGUGGUUCAAAUCCACCUAUCUCCACCA